GUGUCAGCCGCCGCGGUAAGACGUAGGAUGCAAGCGUUGUCCGGAUUUAUUGGGCGUAAAGAGUUCGUAGGUGGUUCGUUAAGUCUGAUGUUAAAGACUGGGGCUCAACCCUGGAAGUGCAUUGGAUACUGGCGGACUUGAGUGUGGUAGAGGCAAGCGGAAUUCCAGGUGUAGCGGUGAAAUGCGUAGAUAUCUGGAAGAACACCGGUGGCGCAAGCGGCUUGCUGGGCCAUAACUGACACUGAGGAACGAAAGCUAGGGGAGCGAAUGGGAUUAGAUACCCCCGUAGUCC
rnacentral:rRNA from 1 species